UACAGAGGGUGCAAGCGUUGUUCGGAAUUAUUGGGCGUAAAGCGCGUGUAGGCGGCUUUGCAAGUCGGGUGUGAAAGCCCUCAGCUUAACUGAGGAAGUGCGCCCGAAACUGCAGAGCUUGAAUACCGGAGAGGAUGGCGGAAUUCCCAAGUAGAGGUGAAAUUCGUAGAUAUGGGGAGGAACACCGGUGGCGAAGGCGGCCAUCUGGACGGCUAUUGACGCUGAGACGCGAAAGCGUGGGGAGCGAACAGG
rnacentral:rRNA from 1 species